rnacentral:rRNA from 1 species
CCACCGCGGUUAUACGAAAGACCCUAGUUGAUAAAUAUGGCGUAAAGGGUGGUUAAGGGUAAAUAUUAAAUAAAGCUAAAGGCCCUCUAAGCCGUUAUACGCAUUCCGAGAGUACGAAAUCCAAAUACGAAAGUGGCUUUAAACAAAUUAACCUGACCCCACGAAAGCUAAGAAACAAACUGGGAUUAGAUACCCCACUAUGCCUAGCCCUAAAUCUAGAUGUAACAGUACAUAUACAUCCGCCCGGGUACUACGAGCACAGCUUAAAACCCAAAGGACUUGGCGGUGUCUCAGACCCACCUAGAGGAGCCUGUUCUAGAACCGAUACCCCCCGUUGAACCUCACCACUUCUUGUUCUUCCCGCCUAUAUACCGCCGUCGUCAGCUUACCCUGUGAAGGUUUAAUAGUAAGCAAAAUGGGCCCACCCAAAAACGUCAGGCCGAGGUGUAGCGUAUGAAGUGGAAAGAAAUGGGCUACAUUUUCUACAAUUAGAAUAUUACGAAUGAUGCAUUGAAAUUAUGCACCUGAAGGUGGAUUUAGUAGUAAAAAGCAAACAGAGUGUCCCUUUGAAUUAGGCUCUGAGACGCGCACACACCGCCCGUCACUCUCCCCACAAAAAUCAAAACAAUAUAUAAUAAAUUAACCACAAAUACGGGGAGGCAAGUCGUAACAUG